rnacentral:lncRNA from 1 species
GUUACAGUACACCUACAGCCAUUUGGUUUAUUGCGGCUCAUUAGUGGAGAACUCUAUAAGGUUCCACUGCCAUCACCAGAGCUGGCCUGUGAGAGAAGUAGUUUGGAAAAACCAGACAUUUUCAAGUUGUUACAAAGACAUCUCAGUAAUAUGUGGUAGGGGGCUCCUGAGUGGCGCAGCGGUCUAAGGCACUGCAUCUCAGCGCAAGAGGUGCCACUAUAGUACCUGGUUCGAAUCCAGGCUGUAUCACAUCCGGCCGUGAUUUGGAAUCCCGUAGGGCGGCGCACCAUUGGCCCAGCGUCGUCCGGGUGUUUGUGAGGCUUGGAACCAACCAGGCCGUCCCACUGGCUCAGUGCCUCUCUCUCUCUCUCUGUCUCUGUCUCCUCUCCUCCCCCUCUCUCUCUGUCUCUCUCUCCUCUCCUCCCCCUCUCUCUCUGUCUCUGUCUCUCUCCUUCU